CUGGGGGGAGAUGCCCUAACGGACCUCCCUGCUCCCCGGCCCUGGGGUCCAGGCCCAGGAGAGCCCGUGCAGGCGGACGCCCUGCCAGCCCUGAUGAGCCCCGGAGAGACAGGCCUGGGCCUGGAGCAGGGGCUGCAGCAGGACUCCAGCGCUUGGCACAAUGACCUACGAGCCCCACAUGCAAGCCCUGCUCAGAGCCCAGCUCUUGUGCCCAGUCCCAGCGCACUUCUCGGGGACAAACACCCCUGGGUCGGCAGGGAGGGGCCGCCGCUCCAGAGGCCAGGGUGAGCGUCCUGCAGCCCUGAGGUCGGGACGCGGGCUGAUGAGGCCUCCAGUCCCGCCAACUCCAGGACCGUGUGUGAGUGCGGAUGGCAUGGUCCAGGUGUCCACCCGGAGCCGAAGCUGGCCCUGAGCCGGCUCCCAGGGGGUCACCUCUGCAGAUUGUUGUGAUGGUGGGGUCUUGUUGCCUGUGCUGGACAGUCCAUACUAACGGUGCCCCAGCCCCAACAGAAGCCUAGACACCCAGGCUCCGCGCCUGUUCCCACGGGGCUGCUUGGGGC
rnacentral:lncRNA from 12 species